GAUGAACGCUGGCGGCGUGCAUAAUACAUGAAAGUCGAGCGAAGCGGGGACGGGUGAGUAACACGUGUAUAACCUGCUAUAAGACUGGGGUAACUUCGGGAAACCGGAGAUAGAACGGCUACUUAUAGAUGGAUAAGCGGGGCAUUAGCUGGUUGGUAAGGUAACGGAGUACCAAGGCAACGAUGCAUAGCCGACCUGAGAGGUGGAUAGCACACACUGGAACUGAGACACGUUCCUGACUCCUACGGGAGUCAGCAGUAGGGAAUCUUCCGCAAUGGGCGUAAGCCUGACGGAGCAACGCCGCGUGAGUGAUGAAGGUCUUCGUAUCGUAAAACUCUGUUAUUAGGGAAGCGGUACCUAAUCAGAAAGCCACGGCUAACUACGUGCCAGCAGCCGCGGUAAUUC
rnacentral:rRNA from 1 species